GAGCCAUGGAGGAGCAUGGCUGCGCCAACUGAUUCCGGUGUGUCAACAACUCCAACCAACGAAACAACGACUGAGAGAGAGAGAGAGAGAGAGAGAGAGAGAGAGAGAGUUGUGAGGGAGUGGCAGCUGAACACCGCCCCCAGUGGUGGAGCGAUGGAGGAGCACGGCAAUGCCACCUGAUUCCAGCGCGUCAACGGCCCCAACCACGGAACAACGGCUAAGGGUUUCAGAGAGAGAAAGGGGCUGUGUAGACGGUGGCAAUGACGACAGUUAGCAUUCCGACCAGAUUUCGAUCUAAAGAGCAGUACUGGCAAGGAGAACUAGGUGAAGAUCCGGUGAGCAGAUUGAAGCCUGUACGAGAGUUCUUCAAGUGAAUCGACAACACUCUAGGCCGACUCUACAUAUAAGAAAAAGUGAAUAGGAGUAGGGCACCGUUGGAAUUAGGGAUGGUUAUGUCAAAUUGGUGGCUACUUGUGAAAUUCCGGUUACACCCGUUUGGAACGCCAAUAGAGGUGUAGUGUCCACAGGUCUGAGGUAAAGCAUGGUGAAGAUUUGAAGUUCUUGAGGUCUGUCUCGGUAAUGGUUGAUGAGAGUCAAGAAUAGGUCAACUCGGUCAACACAGAAACUCAGGUCAUAACCCAGUCAAACGAUGGAAGUUCCAGUGGCCACUUCUAUAUUUUGAAAUCUGGCUUUUUAACAUAGGUUUGGGUUGCAGUUGCCUUUUAUAUCUUCAAAUGCUUAUAAACAAUCAUUUAGAGUUCUUGAAAUGUGAAUUGUCA